rnacentral:rRNA from 1 species
AUUGAACGCUGGCGGCAUGCUUUACACAUGCAAGUCGAACGGUAACAGGCCGCAAGGUGCUGACGAGUGGCGAACGGGUGAGUAAUGCAUCGGAACGUGCCCAGUCGUGGGGGAUAACUACUCGAAAGAGUAGCUAAUACCGCAUACGAUCUAUGGAUGAAAGCGGGGGACCGUAAGGCCUCGCGCGAUUGGAGCGGCCGAUGUCAGAUUAGGUAGUUGGUGGGGUAAAGGCUCACCAAGCCAACGAUCUGUAGCUGGUCUGAGAGGACGACCAGCCACACUGGGACUGAGACACGGCCAAGACUCCUACGGGAGGCAGCAGUGGGGAAUGUUGGACAAAGGGUGCAAGCCUGAUCCAGCAAUGCCGCGUGCAGGAAGAAGGCCUUCGGGUUGUAAACUGCUUUUGUACGGAACGAAACGGCUCUGGUUAAUACCCGGGGCUAAUGACGGUACCGUAAGAAUAAGCACCGGCUAACUACGUG